GAGAGAGGGGUCUUUCCCCGUGCGUGCCGCGAUGGAGGGACGGGGGCGAGUGGCGAGAGACCAAAAACCCUGCACGUGGAUGCAGCGAAACUAAACCCGGAUUUGUUCCACGGUCGAUAAGCUGGAUUUCAUAAACCGCCGAUACGUCCGAGGCAUUUUGUGGGGAACUUAGGGAAGGGAAGGAUUCCGAGUUUUUGGUUUUUGGUUUCUUUGGUCAAAGAGGAGGAUCCGCAGGGAGGAAGGAGGGCAUCAGCGUCGCCAUAGCCGCACCAAGCAGCCCAAGCGCAAGCGCACGACCUGAAGGAGGAGGAGGAGGCCGGAGGAUUCGCCUCUCCCCGCGCGCCAUCGACCUCGAUCCAUCGCGCUUUUUGAUCGGAUCACCUGGAAUUCGCGGCCACCUAGUCCGGACACUGCGGGUGCUCUCCCUUGCUUCUGCUGACGGAGGUGGAAAUGGAUUUGGUCUCUAGUUGCAAGGACAAAUUAGCGUAUUUUCGAAUAAAGGAACUGAAGGAUGUCUUGACGCGUUAGGACUUUCAAAGCAAGGGAGGAAGCAGGAUCUUGUAGAACGGAUAUUAUCAGCUCUUUCAGAUGAACAAGUGUCCAAGAUGUGGGCAAAGAAGAACGUGGGGAAGGAAGAUGUCGCAAAACUAGUUGAUGACAUUUACAGAAAAAUGCAGGUUUCUGGGGCCACUGAUUUAGCUUCAAAUGGUCAGGGAGCCUCAGAUUGCAGUAAUGUCAAAGUUAAAGGAGAGUCGAUUGACCCAUAUCGGUCAGAUGCAAAGGUCAGAUGUCCUUGUGGAAGUUCUUUGGAAAUAGAGGCAAUGAUCAUGUGUGAGGACCCAAGAUGCCAUGUCUGGCAACACAUGAGUUGUGUCAUCUUUCCUGAAAAACCUGGGGAGGCUCCUGAAAAUUUUUAUUGUGAGCUGUGUCGUCUUAGUUGUGCUGAUCCGUACGCAUCUCAUAGUAGCAAACCUUCGCAUUUCAUCAAUAUAUCAACUGGGAAAUGUGACGUUCGGUCUUCAUAGACAUGGCUUUUUGUAUGGAAUGAUGAUAUUGACAUCCCUCUUGAGAAAUUUUAUUUAUUAUUCCAUGCGAAACGAUGACCUAACUUCUCAGUUUUA